UGUCUGAUCAGUGGCGAACGGGUGAGUAACACGUGAGUAACCUGCCCCCGACUCUGGAAUAACCGUGGGAAACGACGGCUAAUACCGGAUAUGAGACGCACGGGCAUCUGUGUGUCUGGAAAGAUUUAUCGGUCAGGGAUGGACUCGCGGCCUAUCAGCUUGUUGGUGGGGUAAUGGCCUACCAAGGCGACGACGGGUAGCCGGCCUGAGAGGGCGACCGGCCACACUGGGACUGAGAUACGGCCCACACUCCUACGGGAGGCAGCAGUGGGGAAUAUUGCACAAUGGGCGCAAGCCUGAUGCAUCGACGCCGCGUGAGGGAUGAAGGCCUUCGGGUUGUAAACCUCUUUCAGCAGGGAAGAAGCGAAAGUGACGGUACCUGCAGAAGAAGCGCCGGCUAACUACGUGCCAGCAGCCGCGGUAAUACGUAGGGCGCAAGCGUUGUCCGGAAUUAUUGGGCGUAAAGAGCUCGUAGGCGGUUUGUCGCGUCUGCUGUGAAAACCUGAGGCUCAACCUCGGGCUUGCAGUGGGUACGGGCAGACUAGAGUGCGGUAGGGGUGACUGGAAUUCCUGGUGUAGCGGUGGAAUGCGCAGAUAUCAGGAGGAACACCGAUGGCGAAGGCAGGUCACUGGGCCGCAACUGACGCUGAGGAGCGAAAGCAUGGGGAGCGAACAGGAUUAGAUACCCUGGUAGUCCAUGCCGUAAACGUUGGGCACUAGGUGUGGGGCUCAUUCCACGAGUUCCGUGCCGCAGCAAACGCAUUAAGUGCCCCGCCUGGGGAGUACGGCCGCAAGGGCUAAACUCAAAGAAAUUGACGGGGGCCCGCACAAGCCGGCGACCAUGCGGAUUUAUUCCAUGCAACGCGAAAAACCUUACCAGGGUUUGACAUCCCCCGAAAAAUUCAGAAAUGUGCUCCCCCGCAAGGUCGGGGUUCCGGGGGGGCAUGGUUUUCCUCCCCCCGGGUCCGGAAAGGUUGGGGUAAAUUCCCCACACAGACGCAACCCCCCUUUCCAAUUUUCCCGGGGGGCUAGGGCUGGGAAUCCUAUGAAAAAUGCCCCGGGUUCCUCU
rnacentral:rRNA from 1 species